rnacentral:rRNA from 1 species
UACGUAGGGUGCGAGCGUUGUCCGGAAUUACUGGGCGUAAAGGGCGCGUAGGCGGCCUGUUAAGUCGAACGUGAAAUCCCCGGGCUCAACCCGGGAACUGCGUCCGAUACUGGCAGGCUUGAAUCCGGGAGAGGGAUGUGGAAUUCCAGGUGUAGCGGUGAAAUGCGUAGAUAUCUGGAGGAACACCGGUGGCGAAGGCGGCAUCCUGGACCGGUAUUGACGCUGAGGAGCGAAAGCUAGGGGAGCAAACGGG